GCACCUCGCUGUACCAGAUUGCACUCCGAAGGCAGGGGUCACAGGUUCGAAUCCUGUCGGGUGCGCCA
rnacentral:tRNA from 1 species